AAACGAUCCUGCAUAAUGGAGUCUUGCAGGAUUGUUUUGUUUGUUUUAUGGAAAUAAAAAUCAUUAUUUAUUAAUUAUCAAAAGAAGAGUCAAAUUUUCCUUGGAUCUAAAGAUUUUCUAAAAAAAAUUUAAGUGUAUAUUUAGCAGUAAUAAAUUAUUUGAGUUGGCAACAGUGGUGGUAGUGACGUCACGUCAUUCCGCGGGUUCAUAAUUAACACAAACUGUAUGUUGCAGUAUUUUCUAGGCCUAAUACAACUGCUUGAACCCAGUUAAUAUUGAUUUACCUCUAAGCAAACUGCAAGUAUCCUGAAGGAGAAGAAGAUAUUAUUUGUAAAGCUUGUGCUUAAAACAAGUGGCAGUCUUCAGGAAGGAUUUUUAAGGAAACAAAGACUUGAAAUUCACAGUAACAAAAGAUACAUCAGCAAUGCCUUAACAAGACUGCUCAAGAGGCAUUGGCAAGAAACUGCAAUCCCAGGUUGAGGAGCAGAAGAGCAGUGUUAGUAGCUUCAUCACUGAUUGUGGAGAGAUUCUGUCCCAACUAGACAAGUAUCUGGAGCAGCUGAAGGACUCAAGGCUCAGCAUCAAUAACUCCAAGUAGCAUUAAAUGGUUUUGGGCAGAAGAACAAAGUAUCAGUUGAGCUCCUGGGACAGGAGAACAAAAUAGCAAAGAAGGAAGGAGAGAAAGGAAAGAUGCAACUGCAAUCUGUGAUGCUGAUCAUAAUGAAGAAGCUGAAGACUGGAUCCAGAAAUGUCAGAAAAUCUUCCAGAUAUUAGCAUGGUCCAAAUACAGUAUUAGCAAAGCCCAGGAGCUUCAGCUUUGCUUUCCAAGCAAAGAAACACUCAAAAUUACUGACUGUGGAGAUCUAAGACUUCUUAGUGCCUUCAAGCUUGAUGUUGAGAAGGGGAUGUUCCUGCACCAAGCACAUCCAUCUCAUUAAAACUGUGAAGACAAUGUACUUACAGAUGAGACGUAAGUUACCCUUUCAUAUUGUUAAUAAAAUGGUUUACUAUGUUAAUUUUUAUUUGUGAAAUAAAUACGCUUGUUUAUAGUGUUAGGCUAGUAGCUUUGAAUUUGCAGUAUGUGUGUGGGGGGGGGGUGCUAGGGAUGUUCGGCCUGGGAGACCAUGGGGCGGCAGCCUAAAAGAAUUUGGGAACCACUGCCCUAGAAAGUUGAGCCUCGCACUAUCAAUUUACGGACUACAGUUUGAGCCUCUCGUCCACCCUUCUAUUUAUUCGCUGUUAGAUAUAAAAGUUCAGUAGAUGUGUACUUAAGAGUGGCAUGA